CUUUAAGCAGUUCCAGGCUCAUGCCCAGGCCGAGCUCUGCCCACCGAGUGUGAGCCAUACUGGGUGUGCUUUGUAUUUUUCCAGUCUGGGUCACAUACACUGCCAGAUUAAUUUUUAUAGGAUCAUGUAUGAAUGUGCCAUCCCCUUCUUCCUGCUUUUGCUCAAGAAUGGUCAAUUUCUCCAUUUUAUGUGCUACUGUAUUGGGAGGGGCCACACUCAGGAACUUAUUGUGUCAUUAUCUGGAGGAUAAGAAAUAAGUAAGCCUUGGGCAGCAUGGCCACUAUUGUUGCUUUCAUGCACUGUGUCUGUAACCAGAGAAAAGUUAUAGGGUGCGUCUAUUAACCGAUUGGCCUGGUCUCUGUAAGAGGUUGUUAGAAAGGACUUAGAAGAUUCGAGAUGAUGUUAGGUGAUUCGGGGAAGAGUUCAAGGAAGCAAAGCUUUGCUCAGUCUUGGGUGCUUCAGGAAUAAGGAGGAGUGGGAAUUCUGCAAUUGGAUAUUUAAAAUCUUAAAGAAAAGGCAAGAGGUAUAGAGUAAGGCUAAAGCUGUAAUUGAUAAAGAAGCAGCAGUCCUUCAUAUUAGCCACGAUAGAAAGAUGUUUGGGCAUUUUGUGGUUUGGGUGAUGUUCAUGUUUUUGUCUAUGUUCAGAUAUGAUUCCAGAGUAGUCUUAUUUUUGUCUUCAUAUCCUGGUGACAGAGUGACCUUGUUUGAUGUUGGCAUUCUUUGAAAUUGUUGCAUUUAUGUUAGAACACCAAGUCUGGCUGUGUGUGCCGGGUCAGUUCCCGACAGUCAGGGGCUGCUUUUCUCUCUCACCUCCUGUUGUGUAGGCAUUGUGCUAGAUAUAAAGCAGAUCCUGCUGCAAGAACUUCUAGUCUAAGGGAGAUGUGGAGAGAGUAAGUAAAAUGGAGAGGAGAGUUGAGUGUGAUGUGAGCAGUCUACAACUAGAUGUAUACACAGGUGUGGAGGAGCCCAGGGCCUGGCCCAGCUUGGGGUAAGCAGCCAGUCAAUGAAGGCUUCCAGAAGAUCUGUUAGAGCCAUGUUCUUAAGGAUGGGUAGGAGCUGUCCAGGCAUAUAUACGUGGAGAAUGGACUUUCUAAGCAGAGGGGGCAUUAAGUGCAAAGGUCUGGAAAGAACAAAGUGUGGGGCAGUGAAGGAGCUGCAAGUAGAUCAGUCUGGCUGGAGCUGGAGGUGUAGAUGUGACUGUGUAGAGGGUGGGAGGGAUGGGGCUGAGGAGGGGAGAAAGAUGAGGCUGGAAUGGUAAGAUGGGGCCAGAUUGUCAAGGAUCUGCAUGCUCUCAUCAUAAUCAAGAAUUGAACUUACUGAGUUUUCACUCUGCUCAGUGGAGAGCAAAGCUUUCCGUAGGAAUUGUGUAUUUGCAUCUUUACAAUGGCUUUAAAAGCCUUAGAAGGCGUAAGUUCCUUGAAUAACUUGUAAGUAGUAAAGCUGUCAUCUGUCCUCCCAACCUUGGUUUUAGGAGAGAUGUAUUGUAGGUCACUCUUGCUUCACUGUGGCAAAUCGAUUGCAGGCGGCAGGCCUGGAGAGAGGAGGCAAAAUUUGCUAACCUGUCACAUUGAUCUGGGUGAGAGAUGGUGUAGUAGAUGUUUUUAGGAUUGAUGCCUAGAUCACAACUGUUUACUCUUUUCUGGAAACAGUGCCAAUAUGGUGUGACCUUGUAACCCCCUCCCAACUUUGUGUCUCUAGUUGCUUGGUUCUGGGUGUGCAACAGAUCCAGCCUGGGCAGUCAGAGCCCUUUUCUGGGACUAUUGGAUCUGGGAACAAAGAAUAGCCUGCUUUCUCUGGUGUUAGAGACUAUCUGAUUUAGGCCAGGUGCGGUGGCUCACGCCUGUAAUCCCAACACUUUGGGAGGCAGAGGUAGGUGCAUCACUUGAGCCCAGGAGUUUGAGACCAGCCUGGGCAACAUGGUGAAACCUCAUUUCUACAAAAAAUAGAAAAAUUAGCUGGGCAUGGUGGUGUGCACCUGUAGUCCCAACUACUCAGGAGGCUGAGGUGGGAGGAUCGCUUGAACCCUAGAGGACAAGGCUGCAGUGAGCCAUGAUCGUGCU
rnacentral:lncRNA from 1 species